AUUUUGACAGUCGGUCAAGUAUGAACUUGUAGGAGAACUUGGCGGAUUCCUACAAACUCUUGAGCUUUUUGAUUGCAAGUCAUGUACAUCUAAGAACGACAUAGGUCAUAAGAUAACAAAGUAAAGUCUGUGUCCUUCUGAAGUACGCAAGAAAUUAGCCUGGAACAAUUGGGAUGGUGCUGUCAACGCGCUGAUGAAGGCAUCAUGGGCAAUCAGGGUGGAGGUACCUGCCGUCAUGGUUAAAGAAGUUCUGUCAAAUCCGUUCCGAGAUAUCUUGAUUUACACUGCCGGUGAUCUUCUACUUCUCAAUUACGAGGCCAUCAAAGUUGCCUGAACGAGGAACGAAGGAGAAAAUCCCGAUAUAAAAAAUAUAAUUCAAGUUUCAUAUAUUCAAAAUUCUAUAAGUAGAUUCCAAGCCACAGAUGGAUAUGUAUAACGCUGAAAACAGGACAUGUCAGCAAAGAAGAGAACACAACAAUUAUCAGUGUGUCACUUUCUGGCUUAUUUUGUUACUUCGCUCAACAGUAAACAUUGAUCUUUCAUCGU